AGCGGCUUUACUCUACAUGCUCUAGCUUCAUUACUAUCGCAAUAGUCCGGAUACUUAUUGAUCAGCCCACGCAUAUAUAUAUCAGACUGGAGUU